GAGUUUGAUCCUGGCUCAGGAUGAACGUUGGCGGUACGCCUAAUACAUGCAAGUCGAACGGAGAUUGUAGCAAUACGGUCUUAGUGGCGAACGGGUGAGUAACGCGUUGGUGAUCUGCCUUGAAGUGUGGAAUAACGGUUCGAAAGAACCGCUAAUACCGCAUAGUCUCUCUUUGUUUAGAAAUUAGAGAGUAAAGGAUUUAUCCGCUUCAAGAGGAGCCUGCGUCCCAUCAGCUAGCUGGUAGGGUAAAAGCCUACCAAGGCUAUGACGGGUAGGGGACCUGAGAGGGUGACCCCCCACAAUGGAGCUGAAACACGGUCCAUACACCUACGGGUGGCAGCAGUAGGGAAUAUUAGUAAUGGAGGAAACUCUGAACUAGCGAUACCGCGUGCGCGAAGAAGGCCUUCGGGUUGUAAAGCGCUUUUUGAGAGGAUGAGGAAGGACGGUACUCUCAGAAUAAGUCUCGGCUAACUACGUGCCAGCAGCCGCGGUAACACGUAGGAGGCAAACGUUAUCCGGAUUUACUGGGCGUAAAGCGCGUGUAGGUGGUACUGUAAGUAGGGCGUGAAAGCUCCUGGCUCAACUGGGAGAGGCCGUUCUAAACUGCAGCACUCGAGUUUGGUAGAGGAAGAUGGAAUUCCAGGUGUAGCGGUAAAAUGCGCAGAUAUCUGGAGGAACACCAGUGGCGAAAGCGGUCUUCUAGACCAAUACUGACACUCAGACGCGAAAGCUAGGGUAGCAAACGGGAUUAGAGACCCCGGUAGUCCUAGCCCUAAACGAUGUAGACUAGGCGUUGGUGGCUUAAUCGCCAUCAGUGUCCAAGCUAACGCGAUAAGUCUACCGCCUGGGGACUACGGCCG
rnacentral:rRNA from 1 species